GCUAGUAAGAGGAAGAAAGAGAAGGCAUCAGAGCAGUGGGAAUGAUAACACAGAGGAAAGCCUAACUUACUUGUUCUUCACCUCUUGUCUUGAGGUGGGAAUGUAGUUUGGCACAUCAUGAUGCCUCUCAUUCCUACCGUUCUUAUGCAAUCCUUUCUCUUCCUUUUUGUU
rnacentral:pre_miRNA from 1 species